rnacentral:lncRNA from 1 species
CUCAUUUAUAACAAACAUUCUGACAUCAAUAACAUCUCAAAACAUACUUAUCAAUCACACAGCAUUCAAAGGUUGAAAUUGACUUAAAAUAAAGUAUUUUUACGUAGGACCACAAUAUACACUUUGAUGAAAUACUAGUAAAAGUCUGUUUUGAGUUAUAUUUCUUGAACAGCCCAGAAUGUUUUAUAAUGCUUUUUAAGUUUCUAUUGCAAAGUGGCAUUUAUAUGUCAUAGAUAAGUAUGCUAAUUUCCAGGAAAAAAUUU